rnacentral:rRNA from 1 species
UACGAAGGGUGCAAGCGUUAAUCGGAAUUACUGGGCGUAAAGCGUGCGCAGGCGGUUCUAUAAGACAGAUGUGAAAUCCCCGGGCUCAACCUGGGAACUGCAUUUGUGACUGUAGAGCUGGAGUACGGUAGAGGGGGAUGGAAUUCCGCGUGUAGCAGUGAAAUGCAUAGAUAUGCGGAGGAACACCGAUGGCGAGGGCAAUCCCCUGGACCUGUACUGACGCUCAUGCACGAAAGCGUGGGGAGCAAACAGG